rnacentral:lncRNA from 1 species
UAGAAGUCAGGUCGGAUUAAGCCAUAGUACGGAAAAAACUAUGCUACCUGUGAGCCCCGUCCAAGGACGUUAAAAGAAGUCAGGCCAUCAUAAAUGCCAUAGCUUGAGUAAACUAUGCAGCCUGUAACUCCACCUGAGAAGGUGUAAAAAAUCUGGGAGGCCACAAACCAUGGAAGCUGUACGCAUGGCGUAGUGGACUAGCGGUUAGAGGAGACCCCUCCCUUACAAAUCGCAGCAACAAUGGGGGCCCAAGGCGAGAUGAAGCUGUAGUCUCGCUGGAAGGACUAGAGG